rnacentral:rRNA from 1 species
UGAGAACCCCGUUCACGACACGUCUACCAGUGCUUUGUGAUACGCUUUCGAUGAGUCGAGUUGUUUGGGAAUGCAGCUCAAAAUGGGUGGUAAAUUCCAUCUAAAGCUAAAUAUUGGCGAGAGACCGAUAGCAAACAAGUACCGUGAGGGAAAGAUGAAAAGCACUUUGGAAAGAGAGUUAAAAGUACGUGAAAUUGUUGAAAGGGAAACGCUUGAAGUCAGACGUGCGCGGUAUUUAUACCACUGCAGGCCAGCAUCGGUUUUACGAGCCGGAUAAAGGUUAGAGGAAGGUGGCAGUCUCGGCUGUGUUAUAGCCUCUAACUGAAUACGGAAUGAAAGACCGAGGGACGCAGCGCGCCGCAAGGCAAAGGAUCCGUCCUUUACGCGCUUAGGAUGCUGGUGAAAUGG